CUCGUAAGCGAAAGACAGACAUCUGCACAAUAAUGUACACAAGCGGGACGACUGGAGAACCCAAAGGUGUAAUCUUAAACAACGCAGCAAUUUCGGUCCA
rnacentral:sRNA from 1 species